AUACAGAUAAGAUAAAAUAAUCUAUUAAUUUUAGGAAUUAAAUAUAUCUAAAUAGAUUUUGUAUA
rnacentral:tRNA from 2 species